AGUGAACGCUGGCGGUAGGCCUAACGCAUGCAAGUCGAACCGCAGCACAGUAAGAGCUUGCUCUUACGGGUGGCGAGUGGCGGACGGGUGAGGAAUACAUCGGAAUCUACUUUUUCGUGGGGGAUAACGUAGGGAAACUUACGCUAAUACCGCAUACGACCUACGGGUGAAAGCAGGGGAUCUUCGGACCUUGCGCGAUUGAAUGAGCCGAUGUCGGAUUAGCUAGUUGGCGGGGUAAAGGCCCACCAAGGCGACGAUCCGUAGCUGGUCUGAGAGGAUGAUCAGCCACACUGGAACUGAGACACGGUCCAGACUCCUACGGGAGGCAGCAGUGGGGAAUAUUGGACAAUGGGCGCAAGCCUGAUCCAGCCAUACCGCGUGGGUGAAGAAGGCCUUCGGGUUGUAAAGCCCUUUUGUUGGGAAAGAAAAGCAGCAGGUUAAUACCCCGCUGUUCUGACGGUACCCAAAGAAUAAGCACCGGCUAACUUCGUG
rnacentral:rRNA from 1 species